AUUGGUAGAGGAGCAUUCUUAACUGAGACGAAGCUGUACCGUAAGGAGCAGUGGAUUGUUAAGAAGAGAGAAUGCUGGAAUGAGUAGCGAGAGGAAGGUGAGAAUCCUUCCGGCCGAAUAUCCAAGGUUUCCAGAGUAAAGCUGAUCUGCUCUGGGUAAGUCGGGGCCUAAGGCGAGGUCGAAAGACGUAGUCGAUGGACAACAGGUUGAGAUUCCUGUACUAUAGUAUAACAGAACUGUGGGGACACAGAUGGAAAGCACAAUCCGGGAAUGGAAAAACCGGUACAAGCGGGGUAGGAGUAGUAAAGGCAAAUCCGUACUACAAUCCGAAGACGUGACGUGGAGCGAACUAAAGUAGCGAAGUGUGUGAGCCAGCUGUCAAGAAAAGCCGCUAUUGUUUAUAUUAUACCCGUACCGUAAACCGACACAGGUGGAUGAGGAGAGAAUCCUAAGGCCGACGGAAGAAGCAUUGUUAAGGAACUCGGCAAAAUGACCCCGUAACUUCGGGAGAAGGGGUGCCUCGAAAGAGGCCGCAGAGAAUAGGCUCAAGCAACUGUUUAGCAAAAACACAGGUCUAUGCAAAACCGCAAGGUGAAGUAUAUGGGCUGACGCCUGCCCGGUGCUGGAAGGUUAAGAGGAGAUGUCAGCGCAAGCGAAGCAUUGAAUUUAAGCCCCAGUAAACGGCGGCCGUAACUAUAACGGUCCUAAGGUAGCGAAAUUCCUUGUCGGGUAAGUUCCGACCCGCACGAAAGGCGUAAUGAUUUGAGCACUGUCUCGACAAUGCAUCCGGUGAAAUUGAAAUACCAGUGAAGAUGCUGGUUACCUGCGCCAGGACGGAAAGACCCCAUGGAGCUUUACUCCAGCUUGAUACUGGGAUUCGGUAUUGCAUGUACAGGAUAGGUGGGAGACUGAGAAUUCACAACGCCAGUUGUGAAGGAGUCAUUGUUGGGAUACCACCCUUGCAGUAUUGGAUUUCUAACCAGCCACCGUGAUCCGGUGGUGGGACAAUGUCAGGCGGGGAGUUUGACUGGGGCGGUCGCCUCCGAAAGGGUAUCGGAGGCGCUCAAAGGUCUUCUCAGAAUGGUUGGAAACCAUUCGCAGAGUGCAAAGGCAAAAGAAGGCUUGACUGUGACACCGACGGGUGGAGCAGGUACGAAAGUAGGACUUAGUGAUCCGGUGGUAUAAAGUGGGAUUGCCAUCGCUCAACGGAUAAAAGCUACCCUGGGGAUAACAGGCUUAUCACUCCCAAGAGUUCACAUCGACGGAGUGGUUUGGCACCUCGAUGUCGGCUCAUCGCAUCCUGGGGCUGUAGUAGGUCCCAAGGGUUGGGCUGUUCGCCCAUUAAAGCGGUACGCGAGCUGGGUUCAGAACGUCGUGAGACAGUUCGGUCCCUAUCCGGCGUGGGCGCAGGAUAUUUGAGAGGAGCUGACCUUAGUACGAGAGGACCGGGUUGGACUGACCUCUGGUGUACCGGUUGUUCUACCAAGAGCAUGGCCGGGUAGCCAAGUCGGGAAGGGAUAAACGCUGAAGGCAUCUAAGCGUGAAGCCCCCCUCAAGAUGAGAUAUCCCCCGCAUAAGCGGUAAGACCCCUUGA
rnacentral:rRNA from 1 species